rnacentral:lncRNA from 1 species
GGGAACUCACCCAGCGCAUCCGACUGCACCAGGGUUUUUGUGAGCAGUGUCUUGCACCAAACUCCUGUCUCCUCCUGUGACUUAGAAUGCCUAACUUCCUGGGAAUGCAGCACAGGUCUCAGCCUCAUUUUGCCCAGCCCCUAUUCAAGACGGAUUUGCUGUGGUUCAAAUGCUUCUGACAAUAUUCCUCAUGGUGAAUGCUGGAUUUUGCAUGCCCGAGGCCCUGGGCCACACUGUAUGUUUGCUUUUUGCAAGGGCUGUAUGGCUAUGACUAGUUAUGUGGACCCUGCAUUCCUAUGUAAAUGACCCUCCAUAAAAACCCCAGAAAUGAAUGCUUGAGUGAACUUCCCUGGCUUGUAUUAUAAUACUGUGAACAUCUUGUCACACAUCUUUGCUGGGGGAAUUAAGUGUGUCCCUAUGUGACCGUAAUGGGAGAUAACACCCAGAGUUUUGUGCCUGCUUUCAUGUGGACUUCAUUCUAUGUGAUUUUUCCCUUUGGUGAUCCUGGUCUAUAUCCUUUUAUUGUAAUAAACUAUAACCAUAACAGC